rnacentral:rRNA from 1 species
GACGAACGCUAGCGACAGGCUUAACACAUGCAAGUCGAGGGGCAGCAGGGGAGUAGCAAUACUCCCGCUGGCGACCGGCGCACGGGUGAGUAACACGUAUGCAACCUGCCCUUGUCAGGGGGAUAAGCGGAAGAAAUUCCGUCUAAUACCGCAUAAUGCUGCGGGGAGACAUCUCCCUGCAGCCAAAGAUUUAUCGGACAAGGAUGGGCAUGCGGCGCAUUAGCUUGUUGGCGGGGUAACGGCCCACCAAGGCGACGAUGCGUAGGGGUUCUGAGAGGAAGGUCCCCCACACUGGUACUGAGACACGGACCAGACUCCUACGGGAGGCAGCAGUGAGGAAUAUUGGUCAAUGGCCGGGAGGCUGAACCAGCCAAGUCGCGUGAGGGAAGACGGUCCUAUGGAUUGUAAACCUCUUUUGUCAGGGAGCAAAAACUGCCACGUGUGGCAGGAUGAGAGUACCUGAAGAAAAAGCAUCGGCUAACUCCGUGCCAGCAGCCGCGGUAAUACGGAGGAUGCGAGCGUUAUCCGGAUUUAUUGGGUUUAAAGGGUGCGUAGGCGGACAGUUAAGUCAGCGGUAAAAUUGAGAGGCUCAACCUCUUCCCGCCGUUGAAACUGGUUGUCUUGAGUGGGCGAGAAGUAUGCGGAAUGCGUGGUGUAGCGGUGAAAUGCAUAGAUAUCACGCAGAACUCCGAUUGCGAAGGCAGCAUACCGGCGCCCAACUGACGCUGAAGCACGAAAGCGUGGGUAUCGAACAGGAUUAGAUACCCUGGUAGUCCACGCAGUAAACGAUGAAUACUAAUUGUUCGGGUCAAAUGAGAUCUGAGUGAUACAGCGAAAGCGUUAAGUAUUCCACCUGGGGAGUACGCCGGCAACGGUGAAACUCAAAGGAAUUGACGGGGGCCCGCACAAGCGGAGGAACAUGUGGUUUAAUUCGAUGAUACGCGAGGAACCUUACCCGGGCUCAAACGACACAGGAAUGAUCUGAGAAAUCAGGCAGUCCUCCGGGACCUGUGUCGAGGUGCUGCAUGGUUGUCGUCAGCUCGUGCCGUGAGGUGUCGGCUUAAGUGCCAUAACGAGCGCAACCCCCAUCGACAGUUGCCAGCAGGUCAAGCUGGGCACUCUGUCGAGACUGCCGGCGCAAGCUGUGAGGAAGGCGGGGAUGACGUCAAAUCAGCACGGCCCUUACGUCCGGGGCGACGCACGUGUUACAAUGGCAGGUACAGCGGGAAGCCACCUGGCGACAGGGAGCGGAACCCGAAAGCCUGUCUCAGUUCGGAUUGGAGUCUGCAACUCGACUCCAUGAAGCUGGAUUCGCUAGUAAUCGCGCAUCAGCCACGGCGCGGUGAAUACGUUCCCGGGCCU